CCCUUAGAUGUCCGGGGCCGCACGCGCGCUACACUGAAGGAAUCAGCGUGGCUUUCUCCCUGACCCGAAAGGGUUGGGAAACCCGUUGAAUCUCCUUCGUGAUAGGGAUUGGGGCUUGAAAUUGUUCCCCAUGAACGAGGAAUUCCCAGUAAGCGCGAGUCAUAAGCUCGCGUUGAUUACGUCCCUGCCCUUUGUACACACCGCCCGUCGCUACUACCGAUUGAACGGUUUAGUGAGCCUUUGGGAUUGGCAGCCAACACCGGCAACGGUAGCUGGCCGCCGAAAACUUAUGCAAACUUGGUCAUUUAGAGGAAGUAAAAGUCGUAACA
rnacentral:rRNA from 1 species